CACUAGAUAAAGGGGUAAAUAUGUUAAAAAAGAUCUUAGUGUGUUCGCUUUCUAAUUUGAAUUAUCGGGUUUUCUAAAACACUCAGAAAGAUUUACACAGUAUCUACGAAUGAUCAAUCGUGACGUUCGCUACGGAUCGCACGCAUGCAUUAAGGAGGUCAUACAUUGCACGACAGUGGGAUGCAGGCAUUAAGGAGGCCAUACAUCGCACGACAGUGGGCAUUAAGAAGGUCAUACACCAAACAUUGCUUGUCAAUAAACUCAUGUCAUGCCACUCUUGAAACCAAUGAUGAAAUGAUAUAUAGCGUAUUCAUGACGGGUUUUUUUUUUGUUGAGAAAAAUAUCUUUGAAAAUUCAGAAAUGCAAAAAUCUCCAAAUGAUUCAAACCAUUCUAACAAGUACAUUACUGAUUUCUGGUUGCCUCUUGACCAAGCGUAUACUCACAAAGCAUUUUAAAAAAAACCAUGAAGCAGGGUAACUCAUUUUAUAUUUCGAUUCGGUGUGAAGUGUAUAGUGGCUGUAAGCUCGCAAACGAGAUGACGCGAGAUUUGAGUACUUCCGGUGACAAACAAACCUUUACGGUUUGCAUGAAAUCAUUAUUAUCAUACCAGUUGGAAAUAUCCUGCAGUUUUUAUCGUUUUUUUGUUGUUGUUUUUUGGUCGAUGCAAAGAAGUGGACGUUAUGGGGAAAGUUGUGCAGGUUAGAUGGAUCGAUGCCAUUGAGACUAAUCUCUUGAAAUAUUCCCGGACACCUUGAUACCCAGGCCAUGACAUACAGUUCCUGUAAGUGCUGACUUACCAUCAAAGCAGUGAUUUGUGUAAUACCGAAUGGUGCACUCACUUAUUUUAGGGAUCAACAUGUACUCCACAGAAAAGUUCCAGCAAAACCCAAGGCUGGAAAACAGUUUAGGUGUUCACCAUCUGUGAUCAAUUAAAACAAUGUGUGUCCUUGGAACAUUCCGGCUUUUUAUCCUUGAGAGGACAGUUGGCUUAUAAAAAAGUUGAACUGCGUUACAUGUUUGCCAGGGAAGUAUUUACGUCGAGAGGGCUAAAGAAAGGAUAAAAUCCACAUACCAGCAGGCUACGAGCCAAUAUUAACCAAGAUAAAUAUGUGCAUGGGAUGCAUUAAACAGUAUAUUAAAUUCUAAUAACUGUUUAUUCAACCGUUAUAUUUUUAAAACUUUUUCUGGAGUGACUGUUAAGUACAAUGCUCUAUAUGUUCACAUCUUCAGGAAUUAAGCACUCGUGUGGGGGUUUUUUUUUGGGGGGGGGUAAAUUUUAAUAUCGUUUUCUUCAUUUAUUAUUAUUAUUUGCAAAUCCUGUAUGAAUAAAAUAAAACUCGUAUGUCAAAUAGUUUAGUAUAAAUAAAAAAUGCACUAUUGA